rnacentral:rRNA from 1 species
AACGAACGUUGGCGGCGUGGAUUAGGCAUGCAAGUCGUACGAGUUUCAUCUGGGUAACUGGAUGAAAAAAGUGGCGAAAGGGGCAGUAAGGCAUGGAUAAUCUACCCUGAUGACCGGGAUAGCUGUCCCAACGGGCAGGUAAUACCGGAUGAGCUGGUGGGGCCGCAUGGUUCUGCCAGGAAAGGCGCAAGCCGCGUCGGGAGGAAUCCAUGUGGGAUUAGCUAGUUGGUGAGGUCAAGGCGCACCAAGGCGAAGAUGUCUAGCGGGUGUGAGAGGACGAUCCGCGACAAUGGGACUGAGACACGGACAAGACUCCGACGGGAGGCAGCAGUGGGGAAGAUGGGAAAAUGGGCGAAAGCCUGAUCCAGCAAUGCCGCGUGAGUGAUGAAGGCCUUAGGGUGGUAAAGCUCUUUUACCCGGGAUGAUAAUGACAGUACCGGGAGAAUAAGCUCCGGCUAACUCCGUG